CGAGACCUUGUGAGAAGGAUGGCAGCAACAAAGAAAACAGGACAGCAGCUUGUCUUUGUUUUCCUGUGCCAGGCACUUUCGUAUCUGCUUUAGCUCAUGAGAUCUCCUAGCAAGCAAGCGGAAGUACUGAGCUCUUCACCAUAGAGACGGGGUUUCACCGUGUUAGCCAGGAU